rfam:Myotis lucifugus cont2.58656, whole genome shotgun sequence.
GGACCAGAGGAAUCCGACUGUUUAAUUAAAACAAAGCAUCGCGAAGGCCCGUGGCGGGUGUGGACACGAAGUGAUUUCUGCCCAGUGCUUUGCAUGUCAAAGUGAAGAACUUCAAUGAAGCGCGGGUAAACGGCGGGAGUGACUAUGACUCUCUUAAGGGGGCCAAAUGCCUGGCCAUUUAAUUAGUGAUGCGCAUGACUGGAGGCAUGAGAUUCCC